UACGGAGGGGGCCAGCGUUGUUCGGAAUUAUUGGGCGUAAAGGGCGCGUAGGCGGUCGAGUAAGUCUGACGUGAAAUCCCUUGGCUCAACCAAGGAACUGCGUCUUAAACUGCUCGGCUGGAGUCCGGGAGAGGGUAGUGGAAUUCCCGGUGUAGUGGUGAAAUGCGUAGAUAUCGGGAGGAACACCAGUGGCGAAGGCGACUACCUGGCCUGUUCUUGACGCUGAGGCGCGAAAGCUAGGGGAGCAAACGGG
rnacentral:rRNA from 1 species